rnacentral:rRNA from 1 species
UACGGAGGGUGCAAGCGUUGUCCGAAAUCACUGGGCGUAAAGGGCGCGUAGGCGGCCCGGUAAGUAGGGGGUGAAAUCCUGCGGCUUAACCGCAGGGCUGCCUUCUAAACUGUCGGGCUCGAGCACGGUAGAGGCAGAUGGAAUUCCCGGUGUAGCGGUGGAAUGCGUAGAGAUCGGGAAGAACAUCAGUGGCGAAGGCGGUCUGCUGGGCCGUUGCUGACGCUGAGGCGCGACAGCGUGGGGAGCAAACAGG